rnacentral:lncRNA from 1 species
UCGGGACUCGUUCCUUUAAUGCUACCGAUAAAACCGAGACGACUCGGGUUCAACUCGGAUCCUCUGUGUGUGUGUCUCUCUCUCCCCUCUCUGCAACGACGAGACGCCCGAUCGUGUUUACCUCGGAAGAACGGGAGCGCGUUGACGUGGAGAUUCUCUUUUCCAGGCUCACCCUCGUUGACUAUUUGUUUCACGUUCUCUGUGGGCUCAUCCUGCCCUCGCUCAGCAGAGCAGCUGGGCCUCCGCCGGGCAAGCCAGUCGUCCGACUCCUGCCAUCGUCGCACUCCAGCGCUCAACUUCCGGGCCUGUAGCCGCCCAGAAGGGGACAACGGCC